rnacentral:rRNA from 1 species
UGAGGAACAUGACCUUCGGCGGGGGAUAGCCGGCCCAACGGCCGGGUAAUACCGCGUACGACCUUCCGGGGACAUCACUGGAUGGUGAAAGCAGCAAUGCGCCGAUGGAGUGCCUCGCGGCCUAUCAGCUAGUUGGUGAGGUAACGGCUCACCAAGGCGACGACGGGUAGCUGGUCUGAGAGGAUGGCCAGCCACAUUGGGACUGAGACACGGCCCAGACCUCCGUAGGGAGG